rnacentral:rRNA from 1 species
UACGUAGGGGGGCAAGCGUUGUCCGGAAUCAUUGGGCGUAAAGAGCGUGUAGGCGGCCUGAUAAGUCGGCUGUGAAAGUCAAGGGCUCAACCCUUGAAUGCCGGCCGAUACUGUCAGGCUAGAGUCCGGAAGAGGCGAGUGGAAUCCUGGUGUAGCGGUGAAAUGGCGCAGAUAUCAGGAGGAACACCUAUGGCGAAGGCAGCUCGCUGGGACGGUACUGACGCUGAGACGCGAAAGCGUGGGGAGCAAACAGG